AUCUUCAGGGCAGGGUGAAAGUCCCUACCGGCGGUAAAGCCCGCGAGCGCACCCGGCGCGUCCUCUCUUCGACGCCCCGCACGCGCAUGAUCCGGCGAAAUUCCGGAGCCGACGGUCAGAGUCCGGAUGAAAGAAGAU
rnacentral:ncRNA from 1 species